rnacentral:lncRNA from 1 species
GCUUCAUCAGAACGUGUUUAAUUAUUUUAGGUUUUCACCCACUUUACGAUGAAAAAAAAUUAACACUCUCCUGCCUUCAUUUCACUCCCUACGAUCAAUACAAAAGCUAAAAAGUUUGAAAUCACCUCUGUCCUCUCUCCCUUCUUUGAUAAAAAUGUGUUGAGGAAAUGGAAACAAAAUUACUGACCUGUGUCAUUGAUCGUAGAGACGUUGAAUACCCAAACAUGUUGUUGAGCGGGACCUGAGAAACAAAUAGUAUCGCAUCAGCAAAAAGAAGACAAAUGAUUUACUCAUGUCAUAAUACUUUCAGAAUAAAUGCAUACUGUUCCAAGGCUGAGAAUGAAUUUUGAGAAGAACCCUUAGAAGCCAUGUAAAUUAGCAAUUAAUAUAUCUCAGUUUCAAAGCAGCAAACAUGUGCAAGUAACAUGCUCUUGAAGUUUCAUGAAUCUACAAGACAACAAGUUCUCAUAACUUUGCAUCUUCCUUGCCAGUAAAGUUAUCUGUUUCAGACACUGUUUGCUUAAGGUAUUAAUUAUUAGAUAGAUACACUAAAUAAGCAUGAUACAUCUUUCUCACACAACUUUGUCACACAAAUACUAGAAUGCUACAAUAAAUAUCAUUCAGUGCAGAGUAUUCUUUUUCACCAAGGGUAAGCCAGAGAUUCAGCCGAUCACCAACUUGUUCUGGUGUUGCCCUUGGUCAAAAGACAACAAUAAGCAAAAAAUAUUGCUUUAGGUAUUGACUUAGUACAAGUCUGGAUGUGUCGUAGACACACAUAACUAGUUUGAAACCUGGUUGUUGCACCAAGUAUGGUAUUCAAGUGGAAAGGCUGGAGAGAUGCCCAUUAUCCACCAAAUUCCAAAGCUAAACUAAAUGAUUUCUCGACCACAAAAUUAUAAAAUGGUAUUUCACAUUUUUCAAGGAAGCUGAGCAUAACAAUGUAACAUGUGGGCCCAUUUGGACAAAUACUUGGUUGAAGUUGAAAAACAAGUACUUGAAGUUGAAGUUGAAAAAAGGUAUUUGGAAGUUGAAAUAGUGCUUGGACGUGAACUACACCUGAAAACAGUUUACAUCUUACGAGUGAAAACCAUUGUUUCACUUUAAAUACUCCUCAAACCAGAUUCUCUAUUUCAAGUAGAAGUUGAAUAAUGGACAAAAUUUUAAAACAAACAUUGAAUUGCAAAUAAUAAAUUAUUUAUGUCCAAACGCCUAUGUAAGACCCAAAAGCACUGAUGAACAGGGAAUUGGGAGUUUAUAAUUCCUCGUGAGGUUUAGUAUUUCUUUUAUUUCUUCUUGCGAACCCAUCAAACAUAAAAAGCAUAAGCAAGAUGAUGGUUUUGCAACUUAUUACUCAUGCACAACCCAUAAGUUGUUGCGAUAUCCAAACUUUUUGUAACAACUGCGGAGAUUCAAAAAUUACAAGAGUAUUUGUAGAGGUAAGCAAAGAGCAAACUGGCAUAAGAAAAAACAGAGGCAUGGUCAACUGAAGUUUCUCAAUUGCAGUAGCACUAAACUGGCAGAAAGGUAGAGAAUUUAACAGUAAAGAGCAGCUCGAAUGAAAUCUGAACAGUAGGUAAAAAAGAAAGAUGUUAACCCCUUUAAUAAAAGUUAACAUACAAUGAUCAAAUUUCACACACAUGCCACUAUGAUAUGCAUUACGGCCAUUUUUCAGCCAAUUCUUUACCUAAAAAAGGCAUGAAGGUUGAUUGCGAACCAGUGUUCGGAAGUGGAUUUUACAAUCACAUAAAGCCAUCCAAACAGAACAAAGAAAGAGGGGAUGGAGAACAUGAUUAUAAGCAGCAAUAUUUACUGACAGCAAGAGGCACCAGAAAUCAAUUCAAAAUACCGCUGAAGAAAAUACAGCUUAAAGAGCAAAGAAAGAUAAACAUACAUGGGCAGUAAUUACAGAGUCAUCUCCUUCCUGGUCAUUGCCGAUUAUGACACCUUUCCUCCUGUGAUAUUAAGAAAACAAGAAAAAUGAAGAGCUUGGUUAGAAAAGCAUAAAUCAGUUUCUCAAAUCUUAAUAGCAUACUCCCAGAAAGAAGUUCACUAACUUAUUUAUAUCCCCAGUAACAGUGCCCUGAAAUUCUGUUGGCACUUUCAUUUCCACCAGCAUCACAGGUUCCAAUAUGAUAGGCUUUGCUGCAGCAUAACACUGUUUGCAAUGAAAUUAGCGAUACAAAAUGAGGAAACGGUAAAAUUACUGCAAGCAUACGCAACUUCGGUAAGGCUCACCAAGCUGAGGAAAGAGAGAAAGGGCAGGAAGUUGGAGGUACAAGCAAGCAUAAGAGUAAUUGCCUACCGAUCAGCUGGAUGAAUGUGUUACCUGUCUAAAAGCAUAAAUGGAAGCUAAUUUGAACGCAAGUUCACUUGAAUCAACAGCAUGUGAGUUACCAUCCGUCAAAACAACACGGAUAUUUUCAACUGGAUGACCAAUCAGAGAACCCCUGGAACACAGAAAGAUCCAGAUUUGUACUCGAUCAAAAACAUGUAAAGGGAACUAGGCAAGCAUGUCAUGAGAAGAUCACCACUGAAUCUUGAAUUGACUAAGCUUUGAUAGUUCCUAAGCAAUUACAUAAAUAUAGUACCGCCUAGAUCCUUAACUUGAAGAAAAGAAACUACAUAAUACAGUACCGGCUAGAUUCUUAACUUGAAGAAAAGCAGCAGACAUAUCCAAGAAUCUCCAGGCAAGUCAUAGUUGAAAUUAGAAAAGCAUACUUACGAAUUGGCAGCCUCCCUGAAACCCUUUUCAAUUGCAGGGACGAAGUUUGAUGGUAUAGCUUGACCAACAAGCAUGUUGUCAAAUUCAAACUUACUGCCCGACCCUUGUUCGAGAGGUUCAACAUACCUGUAGAAACAAAUCAUUGAGGAAACAUGAAUAUCAAAAAUGCCACAAAUGGAACAACGAAAAUAUAAUCAGCUCACUCCCCCUCCCUAACCAACUCUCUCAGGUUUAACAAACAUACUCUUGGUUAUGCCAGAUUUAAGUUUUUUUAGGCCAGAUUUAAUGGAGGGGGAAUGUAGAACUACUCCACACGGUUAAACCUUAUCUGUUAUACAAGCCCAAGACAAUAGUCUACGCACGGGGAUCUGUAAUUGAGCCACCAACGGUAAGCAUCUAAAUUACUAUAUAAGCAGGACAGGGGCUGCAACUGGCUCACAUCUAGAUCUUAGUAGAAAAGGAUGCUAGCUGGAAAGGUAUAGGAAAGUUGGAAAUCACAUUACUAGCAUUAGUCCUCUCUAUUCGACUUGCCCUUCCUUUAAUUAAUGGUAAUUAUUUAUAGGCCCUUAAAAGUUGCACAUAACAAGAAAAAUAAGCCCAAUAGAAGAAAAGGGACUAACCAAAAUGAUAUAUACAUCUAUACUUACCCAAUUACUCUACCAUAUUGACCUUGCCCACCACUUUGCUUCUUGUGUAGAUAAUCGAAAUCUGCUCUCUUGGUGAUGGUUUCCCUGAAGUUUACACGAGGCUUUCCAACCUGAGCUUCAACCUUAACAAACACAGAGAAAGUAAGAAAAGGAUCAAACAAAUGAUGAUACACGACGAAAAUAAUUAUAAUCAAACAAAUGAUGAUGCACGACGAAAAUAACCAUCUAUGAAAAAGAGGAUGAACCUUAUAUUCCCUUCGGAUGCGCUCAACAUAUAUGUCCAGAUGCAGCUCCCCCAUGCCGGAUAUGAUUGUCUGCUCAAGAAACCAUUGAGACAUUGAGAGACUCACCCCAUAAGAUCGACAAUUCCCCUAACAUUCUAAAUAUGGAGCCCACAUGUGGGGUAAACAAAACAUACCUCACCACUCUCAGCAUCUAAACCCACACGGAAUGUAGGAUCCUCCCUCUGAAAGCGAUUUAAAGCUUUUGAGAACUGCCAACCAAAAAGAGAUAACAAUUAUAAUAGGCUCAAAAAACAAUGGCAUAGAGCGCGCACCUUGUAGAUCCAACAGAACAACAGGUUCAAAAAGAGACAACAAUUAUAAUAGGCUCAAAAAACAAUGGCAUAGAGCGCGCACCUUGUAGAUCCAACAGAACAACAGGUUCUACUAUGAGCACUCACUUGACCACCAGUGUCUUUAGAAACCGGUGAAACAGCUAAUGACAUCACUGGUUCAGGGACAUUCAUAGAAGUCAUGGUGUAUUUAACUGAUCCAUCAGUAAAAGUAUCCCCUGCAAACAGAUCAGAACUAAGCAUCAGAAUACAUCAUAAAGAAAAGAUAUAUGCUUCUUCUCACUAAGUCAUCUAAGGAUAGAAUAAGAUGUUACCUGAAGCACAAUCUACACCAAACACAGCAACUAUCUGCCCAGCAUGAGCCUCUUGGAUAUCCUAUGAUUUGAGUUGACAUACAUUUCUAAAAGAUAAGAAAGAUGGCCAAUUGGGAAAUACCGAUAAUCCAGGCAAAAGAUUCAUUUUGUCCCCUACUAAAAUCUAUUUAAACUUCCUCCAAGGCUCAUUCAAUUAAAGAGUAACACAAAAUAUAUAUUGUCCAACAUAGUCAGAUAAAAUGAAUUUAGUCAAGAAGUCAAAAGCGCAAGGCGUGGCUGACAAACCUCCAUCUCAUUUGAAUGCAUUCUGACCAGACGAGGAACCUACAAAAGAAAUUCAGUUGAACCUGGGAUUAGAACAGCAGAAUAACAUAUAAGACUAAUUUUUCUACUAGUAUGCAAGCAUAUUCUCCACGUAAAUAAAUCACACAUACACGAUUGAGUGGAUGACUCGAACAAAGACAUAGGUUAUGUUGGUAUCUAUAUCACAAAGUAGAUAACAGGUUUUUAAGAUAUUUUGCCCCUUGCAUAAGGUCCUUACAACAAAUCUUAACUUCUAACUUCCUUUUGAACUCCCUCCAAUCAAACAGCCGCAAAAUCAAAGGAGCUUUUAUUCUCGGGGUAUCUAGAUACUUAUAAAAAAAAUCGGGUAUGCCAAUCCACCGUAUUCAUUUACCUUUUUUAAUAAGGGUCUACGAAUACCGAGAAUCGACAUAUCCGAAAUUUUCUUUUGAGAAAUAUCUAUAUAUACCUAUUCAUAAGUUUGUAUGAACGAAGUCUUUUUUCUACAAGUAAAUUUUUGCAAUUCCACAUCUUCUUUAACCUGAUACCUUUGGACAGGCCAUAUUUUCAACCCAGCUGUGUCUUGCUACCUGGACAAACUCUCCUUUCCUUUUUUUGUGCUAAUAGAUGAUUCUUAUAAAGGGCGACUGACACGCAUAAGGAAUAACCAGCAUCCCAGUGAAAGCCAAUGGAAUGAGUUCGCAAACAAGUGAAGCAGAAACAAGUUUUUUUUUUUCGAAUAAGCAGAAAUAACAUUUGUUGAAUAGAAUAUAACAAGAAAGCAUUAUCAAUUCAGUGAGGCUGGAAAUGUUCAGAGAAGAGUACACUUCACAGGAACUGACCAGAAAACCAAGAAAAAGCAGGGUGUCUCACAAACCUGUGAAUUUAGUAAACACGGCAACCAUGAAAACCUCCAAAAAAAUUUAUAGAGUUACAAAGCAGCCUCAAUCCAAACUAGUUCGGAUCGGCUAUCAAUAUAAAAAAAUAUCAAUACCAGUAGACACCAAACAAAUUCAAGUGGUGAAACUAUAAAACAAAUAUACACUUCAGAUUUAUAGAGAUCAUUGUGAGUAUGUAUAUAAAAUUGAUUUGACAUGCUUAAAAUCACCAUAAGGUCAAAGGCAAUGCAUUCAGAUGCUAAACUGACAUGAAAUAUUUCGGCUCAAAAUGACUGAUUCUAUAUCAGAAAGAUGAGUUCAAUUGAGCUCACCUUAAUCCUCUUCCCGGUGUUCACGUUAAUUAUAAAGUCGCCCUUCCGGAUGACACCUUCAUAGAUUCUUUGAUGGAAGAUCACGUCAAAUUGUGUGUUCUUGCUAAGUAAACAUACAGAGAAAUAGUUACACAAGAAAUAAGUUUAUAUACCUUAAAUAGGUCAAUUGACCAAAACGCCCUUCCUCUAAUUUAAAUGCCAAGGCAACCAAAGGGCCGGUGGGGCUUCCGGUUAAUGUAACCUAGCAACAAAUUAGCACAAAAAGACGUUAGUCUCUAAUCUGUACAUGGAGGAAAGGAAAAAGUAGGAACUCAAUGAAAAGAAUUAACCUUCUCUUCAUUCUUUGUUUGAUCCAGAGCAUAGUUGCUAACUUCAACUGGACAAGGCAAAUAAUUGAGAACGCCAUCAAGAAGUAUUUGAACUCCCUGUUUAGCACAAAAUAACAGAACAUACAGAUGUAAAAUUGCAACCAAUGAAGUAUAAGGGAAUUAUAUAUUUAAGGAAGAAACGGGAUUUUGUACAUGAUAGGUAAACAUAGUGAGGAAAAAAGGCAAUAAAAUGCAGCAACUGAUUACUUUCCUUAGGAUACCACAACACGCGUCUUUGAAUGGAUGAAAUUAAAGGUAGGUCGAAAUUGUUAAUUGAAAAUCAAGAACAGAAUCGAGCAUUAAAUUGUGCCAAAUCAAGCAUCAGCAAAGAAAAGAUAGCCAAGCAACACCGGGAAUUUUAGAACGGCAAGCAGGCAAGAACAAGAUAUACGCCGAUAUAGGAUAAAAAACCAUGAACAAGGAAAAAUUUUUUACCACUAAACAAGUAGUCAAACGCAAGAGUGCAUCAAGGAGAGAGUACUGUUUGCCUCACAGCUGUAUUCAUUAAGGAUUCAGUUUCGAGAAGAGUAUAACAUGGUCACAGCUAGUCAGAAUCUCAGUUGAGAUUAAUUUUCAAUUUGACGAGGUUGACACAAACAAAAGGAAGCGGUCAGUAAUUUCUAGAAGAAAAAUUACACCAUUGACCUCCUGGCGUUUACAGUGGGAAAAAAUAAUAAUAAUUAAGGUAAAACUUAUGCAACUUAGGUGUUCUACACUUUAAAAAAAAACCAUAUAGCCAUUAUCAAUUUCAGAUCAAAAUUCUCCAUUCCAUAUUAAGUUAAUCAGUGAACAAAACAGCACCUUGUUCUUGAAAGCACUGCCCAUAAAAAAAGGAACAAACUUCCGUGCUAUUGUCGCUCUCCUUAUGGCUGCCUGGAGAACACAGAAAGAAAAUUAUAGAAUAGGUAAGGGAAGAUUAGAUGUCCCAAAGAGCUUAGGAUUACUUAGAAAAGGUGAAUACUCAAAGAUCCAGCAGCAGUACAUUAUCAUACCAAUACCAAGUACUGCAAUAUUUGUUGUAUUAAUUAUAGACAUUAAUGUAGGUUAAACACUUUGAUAUAGUACAUGUUAAAAGAUAAGGUUUAGCAUAUAGUCGCAUACAAAUCUGUUCGCAACCAAUUGACCUAGUUGUGGUAAAUAACCCUGUCCACCACAAAAGCAUCUCAACUUCAGUCCCAUGCUCACAUAUUUAACAUGAUACAGAAAAGAACAUUAUGGUAAAGAAAGGAGGUAUUCUUUCAAACUAUCACCAAAUUUCCGUCAUUGUGCUUGCUCAAUUGAAAACCCACCUAGCAUUCAACUGCUAUAGUUCCAAGAUCUACAAUGACCAUGUUAAGCGGCAGGAAACAGUCACUUAUAAUUCUAUCCCCGACAUGAUUACCGAAGCUUGCAAGUUUCGCUCAACAAUUGAAAUUAGGUAUUUACCUACCACCCGUUACAUCUAUCAAAAUCUACUACUUUGAAAAGAAACACUUGUGUCUUAAACAGAAUGUAGACUUCUCAAAGCAACAACUCAAAAGCACCCCACAAGAAGGUUAUUAUUUCCUUGUAAACAAGGUCGAAUAAUUGCGUACAGACCUCAAGCUCAGCAGAUGAUAUAGGAUCAUCAUUCAGAAAUGCUUCAGCAAGCUUAUCAUCAACCUCAGAAACUGCUUCAAUUAGCUCUCGCCGCUUCUCAGAAGCAAUUGCUUCCAUAUUAGCAGGAAUAUCUUCUGUGACAAUCUUCUCACUGCAAAAGCCAAAAAUGAAUAUGACCAAGUAGAGCAAUGUACCAAUCAUAUCUAACCAAACAUGUUUUAGCUCGAGACGGACCCACUGGAACCAUGGAAAUAGUAAGCUUUCAACUGCACAAGAUCAAUAAGACCCUUGAAGUCAUCUUCCAACCCAAUUGGAACUUGCACAGCAGCGCUAUGGUGCCGAAGUUUUGAUCUUGCCUGUGUGAAAAGGAAACAGAACAAGUAUAAGAGAUUGUCUUCAAAAUUUCAAUGUGCUAGACUGUUAUUCAGAAUUCAUAUAACAAAGUUCUAGAGGAAAGCAGCAAAGUAAGAGAUAAUAUCAAUGAUAACAAGAUGCUGAGCAGCAUAUAAGAAAAAAAGCAUUUUAAUAGAGGUCCAUAACAAUAAUAAGUGCUCCCUGCCAAAGAAUCAGGCAAAUACACACAAAAAAGUAAGAGGUAGCAGUGAAUCAAGUAGCAGAUGUUUAUAACAAGGCAAAAUGGCUUCAUGGCCACAUAAACUUGUCGAGUUUUUUAAAGCCGAUACAUAAACUUUCUAUUUUCCCAUUUGAACACUCCAACUCGUUUUUUCCGUAACUAAUAAACACAUCUGACAAGAGACCAUGUGCGCGUGUAUUACACAUACACAUAAGUGUCCAUCCCGUCAGAAAAUGACCAAUGGAUGUCUUAUACAUCAAAGGCACGAAACCCUAACCCUGGUCCCAUCUUUCAUUCCUUAGCUCACUCAUUUUAACCUCUCUCCGACGAAACCGUCCACUGUUCAUUCCAGAAUUUUGAUGAUUGGAGAAGGUGAUUCGAUCAGAACAAUACUUAAAAAACUACAGUUGACAAAAUGUAAAGCUCUACCCAUAAUUGAGCUCACAGAAUCUCUUAAGCAAAAGGUCAGAGAUGCUGAAGUUGGUCGGCAAGCGCAGGAAAACACUAUACAAUUGUUGGAAAGGGGUCGUGAAGUUCUACUUUCUGCUUGUAAUGAUGCAACUAAUGAACUGGCUUUAACUCAAAAUAGAUUAUCUGAACUUGGCUCCAACUUUGACCUGGAAAAAUUGAAGGAAACCGCACCCGAACAAUUAGGAAAUUUUGGUGAAGAUGUAGCACAUCAUCAGUUGGCGCUUGAUAACAGUUAGUCCGCAAAGACCGCUGAGAAGCUGCUAUUGGCGGCUAGACACAGUCAACAUCUGAACAGUUCUAAACUGUGGUGGAUGUGAUGGUUGGUACAAUUACAGAUUUGCAGGUUAAAUUGGAAGAAACCAAUAAUACUUGUGUGAAAGUCCGGGAAGAAAAAAGAUUCACCAUCUCCCAACUGGAGACUGAUCUCGAAGCGUCAAAUGAUCUUUGCAAUGAGAUGAAGCUUAGGUUAGAGGGUUAUCAGGCAAAAGAGGAUAAUAUCACGGAAAAAGAAGCUGAAGUUUUGUCUUUUAAUUCUAAAAAUGGAGGAAGGGGGUAUUUUAGAAGCAAUGAAUAAGAACACAGUUAAACACUAACUCAUUUUGUACGGUUGGGCGUCGGGAAGGGGGUUUUCACGCUCCCAUGCGUCGUGUUCCUCACGCGUGCUGCUGAUUAGGACCGACUGACACCACAUGGGCAUGGUCAAUGGUCAAAUGUGUUUAUUAAUUACGGAAAAAACGAGUUUGAGUGUUCAAAUGGGAAAAUAGAAAGUUUAUGUAUCGGCUUUAAAAAAUCCGACAAGUUUAAGUGGCCAGGAAACCAUUUCGCCUUAUAACAAAGAUAAUACUUUCUGAACCCCAACCUAACUGUCCAACUUUUUAUAUUGAGAGAUAUAAAGGAAUUCAGUUAACAGAAGAACUAUGAUGAUGCAGGUUACCGAGGACAUGACCCUUGAUAGGGGAGUCUGGAGUUCUAGAAUCAGGAUUGUAGGCUAGGGGCUCAUAGAGUUCUUCGUACGCCUCGCCCGGGGUUGGGUGUGGGAUAGUAGGGUUACCCAUAGGUGAUUAGUGUUUUAGCUUAUGUUCCCAUAUGGUUGUUAGUGUGGUAGUUACUGCUUGUUNNNNNNNNNNNNNNNNNNNNNNNNNNNNNNNNNNNNNNNNNNNNNNNNNNNNNNNNNNNNNNNNNNNNNNNNNNNNNNNNNNNNNNNNNNNNNNNNNNNNNNNNNNNNNNNNNNNNNNNNNNNNNNNNNNNNNNNNNNNNNNNNNNNNNNNNNNNNNNNNNNNNNNNNNNNNNNNNNNNNNNNNNNNNNNNNNNNNNNNNNNNNNNNNNNNNNNNNNNNNNNNNNNNNNNNNNNNNNNNNNNNNNNNNNNNNNNNNNNNNNNNNNNNNNNNNNNNNNNNNNNNNNNNNNNNNNNNNNNNNNNNNNNNNNNNNNNNNNNNNNNNNNNNNNNNNNNNNNNNNNNNNNNNNNNNNNNNNNNNNNNNNNNNNNNNNNNNNNNNNNNNNNNNNNNNNNNNNNNNNNNNNNNNNNNNNNNNNNNNNNNNNNNNNNNNNNNNNNNNNNNNNNNNNNNNNNNNNNNNNNNNNNNNNNNNNNNNNNNNNNNNNNNNNNNNNNNNNNNNNNNNNNNNNNNNNNNNNNNNNNNNNNNNNNNNNNNNNNNNNNNNNNNNNNNNNNNNNNNNNNNNNNNCCUACACGCCGAGGGUCGAUUGGAAACAGCCUCUCUGCCCUUUCGGGCAGGGGUAAGGCUCGUCUACAUAUUAUCCUCCCCAGACCCCACCUGGUGGAAUGUACUGGUAGUUGUUGUUGUUGUUGUUGUUGUUAGAAGAACUAUGAUGAUGAUCCUUAGCACGAACGCUGCAUGAACACACUGGCUUCCCCACCUUAAAUGUUUUCUAGAGGUCUACUGAUUUGGCACUCAAAUAAACUUAUUCAUGUUUAGUUCCUUCACACAUGAUGACAAUGAACUUCGCUGCUUGCAAUUUCUCUGAAAUACCAGACAACAAGAGAAAUGUCGCCUGGCAGCAAGCAACAAAUUAAAGAGCAACAAAAUUUAACUUAUUUAAAAGGAAAAUAAGCUUUGAAUCAAAUUUUAGAAAUGUAAUAGGCCUUCAAUGAUGCAUAGCUGACCUGGUUAAGAACUUUCCAUGGGUCUGCCCCCAUCCGAUCAAGUUUAUUAAUAAAAGCAAGUCUUGGGACUUCAUAUCUUCUCAUUUGCCUAUCUACAGUGAUAGACUGACUUUGGACACCACCAACGCUACAAAGGACGAGAAUGGCUCCAUCAAGAACACGCAAGGCUCUUUCCACCUCAAUCGUGAAAUCAACAUGACCUGGUGUGUCAAUUAUGUUCACCUGCAACAAGCAGAAAUUAAAAACCGGAUCCAGAAAUCCACCAAAAAAAUUUCUACUAACCAAACAACUGAGGAUUACUACAAUAGGCUCGCCUCAGAAAAGAGAAAACUUUUGCAUGCAAUAUUAUGCUAAUCUUUCCUAGUGAAAACCCAAGAAAAGAAAUAGGAAACGGAAGCAACAAUAAUGUUUCACAUAUCUGGUCGGAUCAGUAACGCUUAGCUCAAUAAACUAAGCACCCAACAAGAAUCUCUUGUGAACCAGUCCGGACAAUUUCAUUUUUGUCCGUUUUGUUUGACUUGCCCCGUCAAUAGGAUAUCAAUAAAGAAUAAAACUGUUAUAAAUAUAUUAUAUUAUGGAUGUUCAUUUAGUACUCCAUUGCAAAUGAACUUCCUGAAGAAGCUUAUCACUUCGGUACCCGGUUAUGGAUAAACAUUACCCCGGUAGAAGAUUAUCCACAUCUGGUAUAAUAGUAGCUUACACAGCAGCUUGUGUAGCAGUUUACACAGCAGCUUGCAGUAGGAGCUUACACAGCAGCUUGCUUUCUUCUAUAAAUAAAAAAAAUAUCAGUUCAUAUGUACAUCAGUUUAAAUUCGAAUAAUAUAUCAGUCUUUCUCUAUACUUAUCUUUACUUUAUAAUCUUUAUUUUAUAACACGUUAUCAGCACGAAACUCUAAUCAACUGAAUGUAAAAAUGAGCUCAAAGCUGAAAAAAGGCUAUUAAUAAAACAAAGAAAAGCAAGUCGGUUGGAGCCGCAAUAGCCGAAGUGAGAGCGAGAACCUCGCGCGGAGAACAAACAAUCAAUUUGCAGAAUCUUUGGCAAAGCACACAUGAUGGAAAAACAACUAAUCUUUGUUGUUGAAGGCACUACCGCCGUGGGACCUUUUCGGCAAACAAUCAUUUCUGAUUACCUCGACAAAAUGAUACGUGUUCAUCUCCAAUAUAAGGCGAUGCUCUUAUGUCCGUGAUUAAAUCUUAUUUAUUUCGAGCAUCAUAAAGGUAUUAUAUCUUUGAGGUGGUAAGUUUUUCUUCCUGACAGUAAUAAUUGCUUAUAGUUGAUUUAAUAUCUUUAUCAUCUCUUGCUUGGUUAUAUGCUAUGUAUACAGUACCUAUUUUGAUAUUUUUUUAUCCGUAUUAUCUUAAUAAAGGGUUACAAAGUGGAUAACAUCGUAAGAUCCACUAAACUCCAGGAGAGUUUGCAAGAAAUAUACAACCACUAGAAGUGGUUAUAUUUUGUAUACUCAUUAUAAGUAAAUUUUGUCAACCACCAGAAGUGGUAUAUGCCUAUGACCACCAGAAGUGAUAAUUUAGGCUUGCUAUGGUUACAAUGAAGAUAAGUUAGAGAAAAUUUCUCUAUAUUACAUACCUCGAUUUGCUCCUGAAGUUGCAAAUAUAUUAAAAGAGGUCAGACGCAAUCACAAGUUAAUGAGGUUAUUGCACGUUCCGAUAAUUAUGUUCUGUUUCCUGAAGGAUGAGAACUUUUGAUAAAUAUUAAUCAAUUCCUGAAGUGAAUGUGACAAUAUUAAUAAAGUUCGUUAUGAGUGCGCUAUUAAUAUAAAUAUAUUACGAUUCACUUCCAGAAGAGGUAAUAUGAUUGAGAGAAUAUAUACUCGAUAUUUUGUAUUUUAAAUUUGCUCCUGAAGAAGUCACACAAUUGAAAUUUUCUCCUGAAACAGGAAAAUAUUAUGAAACUAUGUCUUUCUGUGCUUACAAAAUAUUAUGAAAAUGUUAUGUCGCUUGCGAACCGACAUAAAAAUGAUCGUCGACGAUAUAUUUGAUACAAUAUAAUGCACAAUAUUGUAAAAGAUUGUGAGGAUCGGACCUGCAGUCCAGACACCUAAAGAUGUCAUGUCAUUCAUAACCUAUAUGGAUUAUUUGAUUAAAUCUAUAUGAAUAUCCCUGAAGGAUUUAAAAUGCCUGGAGCAUAUAGUUCAAACCAUUCACAACCUAUAUGGAUUAUCUGAUUAAAUCAAUAUGAAUAUCCCUGAAGGAUUUAAAAUACCUAAAGCAUAGAGUUCAAAGUCUCGAGAAAUGUACUCGAUCAUAUUACAAAGGUCAUUGUACCGUUUAAAGUAAUUUGGGCGCAUAUGGUAUUAUUGCCUUAGUGAAUAUUUGCUGAAAGAAUGUUACAUCAGUGAUGUUAUUUGUCCAUGUAUUUUUAUAAAGAAAACGGCAUCAGAAUUUGUUAUACUUGCCAUUUAUGUUGAUUACAUAAAUCUAGUUGGAACUCCAGCAUAGCUCCAAAAGGCAAUUGAAUAUCUUAAGAAAGAAUUUAAGAUGAAAGAUCUUUGGAAGAUAAAACUUUGUCAUGGUUUGCAAAUUGAACAUUUAGCAGACGGUAUUUUUAUCCAUCAAUCUGCUUAUACAACAAGGUUCGUAAAAUGCUUUUACAUGGACAAAUGUAUCUAUUGAGUACACCAAUGGUUUUUCGAGCAUUUGAAGUGGAUAAUGAUUUGUUCCGACCUCCAGAAGAGGAUGAGGAACUCAUUGGUCCGAAGUAUCCUAUCUCAGUGCAAUCGGUACAAUAAUGUAUCUUCUAAUGCUACAAGGCCUGACAUAUUACAACAACAACAACUACCCAGUAUACUCCCACCAGGUGGGGUCUGGGGAGGGUAAUNNNNNNNNNNNNNNNNNNNNNNNNNNNNNNNNNNNNNNNNNNNNNNNNNNNNNNNNNNNNNNNNNNNNNNNNNNUAACCAAGGCAAGACCAAACAAAAUAACAAAACAAAGCAUAAGUAAUCCUGCAGAAAUAACGUAAAUGGUUAUGUAAACAUAAGGAACAUAAAUACCAUCGCAACCAAGAGGGGACCUAGGCUAAAACACUAGACAUCGAUGGGUAACCCUACUAACCCACACCCACCCCGGGUGAGGCGAACGAAGGACUCUAAGAGCCCCUAUCCUGCAACCCUGAUUCUAGACCUCAAGAUAUUUACUGUUAAUUUACUAGCAAGGCAUAGUUCUUCUCCUACACGGAUUAAGGAUUCG